AGCCGAUGUAGCUCAGUGGCAGAGCAGCGGUUUUGUAAACCGCUGGCCGUCGGUUCGAAUCCGACCAUCGGCUCCCA
rnacentral:tRNA from 1 species